AAGAGUGAAAAAGAGGACUAAGGACCAAAAAGGAAAAACCAGAAAAAAUGAAGAGGUACCAAAAGGACGAACAACUCCUGAAAUGAAAAGUUACUGGAAUCUCGCUGCCUUCAGUGUCAUUUACCCUAUCCACCCAUAGCCCUCUGCCUGAAAAGAGAUAGAAAGAAAAGGAGGAAGAAAAACUGCAAGAGGGAGUGAGACCAUGGACAUGUUGGAAGCUGGAAUAUACAUCCUGCAUUACAAAGUGCAAAAUACUACAUGCUCAGAGCCCAAGCAUGAUGUCUGAAACAGUCCACAGCAAGAUGCAGAUCAGAAUUGAGCCUUCUCACUCCAGUCCUUCCCCACAAAAUAGCUCCCUGGCAUCUCUGUGCACAUACACAUUUGGGAUGGGAUGCUCGACUCUUGA